GCGGAUGUAGUUUAAUGGUAAAAUACGAGGUUUCCAACCUCUUGUCCUCAGUUCGAUUCUGAGUAUCCGCU
rfam:Synechococcus phage S-SSM7, complete genome.